UGUCUUUUUGAAAAUAAUAUAAAGUCUAAUCUGCCCACUGAUUUAUAAUUGAAGGGCUGCAGUAUUUUGACUGUACAAAGGUAGCAUAAUCAUUAGUCAUUUAAUUGAUGACUUGUAUGAAGGAUUGGAUGAGAUAUAAACUGUCUCUUAUUUAUAGUAUAGAAUUUAAUUUUUUAUUUAAAAAGUUAAAAUAUAUUAAAAAGACGAGAAGACCCUAUAGAGUUUUAUAGUUAAAUUUAAUUAGGAUUAUUUGUAUUAUUAAAAUUAAAAUUAAUUUAAUUAUUAUAUUGGGGUGAUAGAAAAAUAUAAAAAACUUUUUAUAUAUAUUAAACCAUUGAUAAAUGAUUAAAUGAUCCAAUAUUAUUGAUUAUAAGAAAAAGUUACCUUAGGGAUAACAGCGUAAUUUUUUUUUUUAGUUCAUAUAAGAAAAAGAGUUUGCGACCUCGAUGUUGGAUUAAGAUAAAAUUUAAAUGUAGAAG
rnacentral:rRNA from 1 species